CAAUAGCGUAUAUUAAAGUUGUUGCAGUUAGAACGCUCGUAGUCGGAUUUCGGGGCGGGGCGACCGGUCUGCCGAUGGGUAUGCACUGGUCGGCGCGUCCUUCCUUCCGGAGACCGUUCCUACUCUUAACUGAGCGGGGGCGGGAGACGGAUCGUUUACUUUGAAAAAAUCAGAGUGUUUCAAGCAGGCAGCUCGCUCUUGCAUGGAUUAGCAUGGGAUAAUGAAAUAGGACUUUGGUGCUAUUUUGUUGGUUUCGAACACCGAAGUAAUGAUUAAAAGGGACAGGCAGGGGCACUCGUAUUCCGCCGAGAGAGGUGAAAUUCUCAGACCAGCGGAAGACGAACCACUGCGAAAGCAUUUGCCAGGGAUGUUUUCACUGA
rnacentral:rRNA from 1 species